CUUGCUGAGGAGCGCUGCGACCUUUUUAGACUAGAGGGCCAGGCUCAGCAAUUGAAUAAACGGCGCUCACAAACC
rnacentral:ncRNA from 2 species